rnacentral:rRNA from 1 species
UACGAAGGGGGCUAGCGUUGUUCGGAAUUACUGGGCGUAAAGCGCACGUAGGCGGACUAUUAAGUCAGGGGUGAAAUCCCGGAGCUCAACUCCGGAACUGCCUUUGAUACUGGUAGCCUAGAGAUCGGAAGAGGUGAGUGGAAUUCCCAGUGUAGAGGUGAAAUUCGUAGAUAUUGGGAAGAACACCAGUGGCGAAGGCGGCUCACUGGUCCGAUACUGACGCUGAGUUGCGAAAGCCAGGGGAGCAAACGGG